AGGCAGAUUGGCUCAGGGCUGGCCGCUGCCUAGGGAUUUCACUUGGCUGGCAUUGUGAAUGUGAUGCGACAGGACGCGGUAAUCUGGACCUAUCCAGUUCCCCAGCGGGGCGCAUAAGGACGCGUGAUGUCAUUUAUUCAUAUUAACGCUGCUGUUGACCGGCCGGGGUGCAGAACAGACGUUGUAGCUCCUUGUUAAAAUUGUGAGUUUUCAGUUUAUCAGUGACUUUUCUUGUUCAUUCAGUAUUUCUAGUGAUUAAUGAGCAUCCUGUUGUAUCCUGAUUCUACUGGGAUAGAGAGCUGUGCGCUGGUUCUGAAUUUUUAUAUAUAUAUAUAUACCUACCUACCUACCUACCUACCUACCUACACACACACUGCUGUGCAAAAGUCUUAGCCAUGUUGCAUUUUUCUCCUCUGAUGCAUUAUGAGCAUCAAUAAUUUCCUCAAAGCCUCCACUUGUGUUUUCUACUAAUUAUAACAACCUUGACUUGCACACAGAAGGAAACACAUUGAGUGAAAUAACUCGCAUCACUCGAUUUUCAAGGUGUGGUAUCCGAAGCGUAAUCAACAAGCACAGAGAAACUGGAAUCAUCUGGAAUUGACAAACCCAGGACUGGAAGCUGUCCAACAAGAAUGAGCAAUACUUGAAGAUAAUAUCCUUAAGGAAUAGAAAGAAGACAAGUGUUGAAUUGACAACAGAACUGGCAGAAGGCUCAGUUGAUUUAACCAGCUUCAGUGUUACAAAAAUGGCAUUGAUCUACAUUCUGCCAUUGAUUUAUUAUUUUAUUUAUAAACCUAUAUCUAUGUUAAUUUCUCUAAAUUAGUGUUAUUUUUGGAAAUACUUUGGUAACAGUGCCUUUCUUUCUUUCUUUCUUUCUUUCUUUCUUUCUUUCUUUCCUUCUUUCUGUCUUGUUGUUGGAGCAGAGACUCUCGGAUCCUUCAAGAAUAGACUGGAUGCUGUCAUGAACAAUACUGUGUAACCCUCUCUGUGACCACAGCUUUCUCUGAAUCUCACACGUCUGCUGCAGCUAGGAACCAAUGUUGGUGGAUCAGGUGGGGGUCACAUUACUUGUAACGCAGGAAAGAAUUAAGGAAGUGAAUGGGGGAAAGGAAAAUACCAAGAAGUACUUCCAUCAAAAUUGCAUGGAAAUGACUUGAUAGAAAAAUAGACUUUUUUUUUUUUUUUUU